GACGAACGCUGGCGGCGUGCUUAACACAUGCAAGUCGAACGGAAAGGCCCUGCUUUUGUGGGGUGCUCGAGUGGCGAACGGGUGAGUAACAAGUGAGUAACCUGCCCUUGACUUUGGGAUAACUUCAGGAAACUGGGGCUAAUACCGGAUAGGAGCUCCUGCUGCAUGGUGGGGGUUGGAAAGUUUCGGCGGUUGGGGAUGGACUCGCGGCUUAUCAGCUUGUUGGUGGGGUAGUGGCUUACCAAGGCUUUGACGGGUAGCCGGCCUGAGAGGGUGACCGGGCACAAUGGUACUGCGAGACGGCCCAGACUCCUACGGGAGGCAGCAGUGGGAAAUAUUGCACAAUGGGCGGAAGCGUGAUGCAGCAACGCCGCGUGCGGGAUGACGGCCUUCGAGUUGUAAACCGCUUUCGCCUGUGACGAAGCGUGAGUGACGGUAAUGGGUAAAGAAGCACCGGCUAACUACGUG
rnacentral:rRNA from 1 species